UUGGCAAACCUGACAAUUAUCGACUUCGAUUUUCACUGAGCAUAAUAAAUUGUGAUUUAGAUUUCGAUUCAAAGUACGAUUUCUGAAUGGAAAUGAUUUAAUCAUAAACUCCUAUGGUAUUUAUUGGAAUGUGAUAUAAUGAAUGGACACAUUCAAUACAUAUCUUAUCCGAUACAUGUCGUGUCUCCAAAAAUAUAGGUACCUAUAAGAGUACUAUUCAUGGUAUUAUAAUGGCAUGAUAUAAUAUAAUCAUAAUGAAAUUUACACUAUUGAAUUGAAUUGAAUUGAAAAUUUAUUUAUUCAUCAAAAUGCACAAAAUACAUCUGAACAGUGUCAAAUUACAAAAAUUAUUAUUAAUAUCGUCACAAAAUCAUCCUUUACACAUACAGAAGUCAAAAAUUCUGAUAAAAAAACAAGAUUCUAAAAUCUUACAGUCAGAUUGACAUACUCCUGCAAAGAGUAUAGAGAUAGUCCCACCAAAUAUUCCUUUAAUUUUUUUUUGUAGGUAUUCAACCUCCUCUAUUUCUUUCAACUCUCUAGGAAGUAUAUUGAAAAAUUUUCUCCCCAUAAAAAGUGUUUUUUCUAUGCCUCUCCUCGAUCCUUCCAAAUCUGGUGUUGUAGCCAUGUGUUUCGUUUCUUGAUCCUGUUGACGAGCAUUUUUUAAAGUACAUGACUACGUCAAAAAUAUAUUGCCCAUAGAUUGUUAAGAUUCCAAACUGUGGAAAAACGAGUUUUACUGAGUCUAAUCUUUUUAACUUCAUUAUUAUUCUGAGAGCUCUUUUUUGUUGUAAUAGUAUCUUAUCAAGAGUGGUACAGGGAUUUCAUUGUCUGUAUACUGCAGAUAUCUGUCAAUUGCCGCAAAGC